rnacentral:rRNA from 1 species
AGCUCUAAUAGCGUAUAUUAAAGUUGUUGCAGUUAAAAAGCUCGUAGUCGGAUGUCGGGCUCGGGCAGGCUGUCGGCUUCGGUCGGACGGCAGGCUCGGGUCUUUCUGCCUGAGGAUCCCGUGCACUUUAUUGUGGGCGGGGGACGCAGGCCGUUUACUUUGAAAAAAUUAGAGUGUUCAAAGCAGGCCUACGCUUGAAUACAUUAGCAUGGAAUAAUGGAAUAGGACUUUGGUGCUAUUUUGUUGGUUUAUGGGACCGAAGUAAUGAUUAACAGGGACAGUUGGGGCCGUUUAUAUUUCGUUGUCAGAGGUGAAAUUCUUGGAUUUACGAAAGAUAAACUUCUGCGAAAGCAUUCGGCAAGGAUGUUU